UACUAGAGUAGCACUCGCAUAUCAAUAAGCGGAGGAAAAGAAACUAACAAGGAUUCCCCUAGUAACGGCGAGUGAAGCGGGAAGAGCUCAAAUUUGAAAUCUUAAAGGGUUUCCCUUUACGAAUUGUAGUUUAAAGAAGUGUUUUCUGUUGAGGUUUUGGUAAAAGUUCUUUGGAAUAGGACAUCAUAGAGGGUGAGAAUCCCGUAUUUGACCUUUACUUUCAACUUUGUGAUACACUUUCAAAGAGUCGGAUUGUUUGGGAAUGCAGUCCAAAAUGGGUGGUAAAUUUCAUCUAAAGCUAAAUAUUGGCGAGAGACCGAUAGCGAACAAGUACCGUGAGGGAAAGAUGAAAAGAACUUUGAAAAGAGAGUUAAACAGUACGUGAAAUUGUCAAAAGGGAAGCGUUUGACACCAGUGUUGUUUUUCUGAAAAUCAAUUAAAGAACUGUUUAUGCUAAGCUGUUUAGACUUUAUCAGCUAUCUGUUUCGUUUUGAGCUUUUCUUUAAUGCACUUUUCAGUUAACAAGUCAACAUCAAUUUCUUUUGCUGUAAAAAAGCUUGAGGAAGGUGGCUUGAGAUUCGUCUUAAGUGUUUAUAGCCUCUUGCCUAUGCAGUCGGAGAGAUUGAGGUCUGCAGCGUAGAUCCUUCGGGGCUAAAUGCAUUUGUGCUAAGUUAUAGCAUUUUAUAGACAACUUGUUGACUAUGAUUUGUCUUGUAGCUUACUCGCUUAUGUUAUUUUACCUACGCUUAGGAUGUUGAACUCUAUCACACACA
rnacentral:rRNA from 1 species